GGCUCAAUCACGCUCACUUAUAAGAAGAAUUUGUCUUUUAACAUAGAAGCAAAACCACAGAGCAAUUCAAUUUCAUUGGUUCCCCAGACUAAAUUUCAAAGCUCAAAGGUCAAGGGAAGUGCAUGAUCAAGACAUAGGAGAAGUCAGUUAGAGAGGGGGCUAGAUUUGCAGAAGCUGUACAGAAGUUGGGAAGAUAAUCUGGGCGUUGGUUUUAUUGCAUUGAAGGUAAAAGUGCCUGUAUAUACAGCAGGGACUGACACCAAACCUUCACAAAUAGCUAGGCAAGGUUUAGAGGAGGCCAAAAAGAAGAACAUAGAUCUAGUAAUAAUGGAUACUGCUGGAAGGCUUCAGAUAGACAAAGUACUGAUGGAUGAGUUGAAAGAAGUAAAGUGGGAAUUGAACCCCACAGGAAACUUUACUCAUUGUGGAUGCAAUGACUGGCCAGGAAGCUGCAGCCCUGGUCACAACAUUCAAUGUAGAGAUUGGGAUUACUGGCGCUAUUUUAACAAAGCUGGAUGGAGAUUCUAAAGGUGGAGCAGCUUUGAGUGUUAAAGAGGUGUAAAGCAAGGACAGCAGCUGCAAUCAAAGUUCCAAAGUUUCAAUUUGAGGUGAGAAGGAAUUAUAGAGACCACAUACCUUCAAGAAGAAGUCAAUGAACUCCAUGAUGGGAAGAAUUCGUUAGCGAUAAGUAUCUUUAGACUUUUACAAUGUGGAUCUUCAUCAAUUGUAUGGUUUAACUCUGUACCUAGUGAAACUUCUUUGUAGCAAAAUUUACCUUUUCCAUUGCAAGUAGACUUUGACUUUUGCAAUGUGGAUUUUCAGUUCUAUACUCUCUAUUAAUAUAUUGCAAUUUCAUUUCAA